rnacentral:lncRNA from 1 species
CUGGCUCUCAGUCCCCGCCUCGCGGGAGGCUUCGGUAGAUUGCAAAUGACCUGCUUUCUUUCGGAUCCCGGGCUGCUUUCGGACACCUGUCGAAUAGUAAAUCCCAAGUAAGGUACCUGCGGUCGUCGGCAGAUCUGAAUUUUCUUCUUGGACACCUAAUACCCACAGCCCUCCAGAGACCGAGAGGUUGAUGUCACUCCCAAUAUCGGAGGAAGUAUACACCCCCGUGUGAGAUGGUCCUUAAUAAUAUUCCACGGCGGAGGGGGUGAUAUGACUACAUACAUGGCAGAAAGUGGAAACCUCCCAGGGAUAUUGUUCCCACGAUCCUGGAGGGAAGAAGAUGAUGUUACUUUCAAUAUGACAGAAGGUGGAUGAAGUGGUGGACUGCCCCUCCACACCUGUGGACACGCCCCCACUGAUAUUCCUUCUAAUUGCAGCGUGGGAGAGGAGGAUAUGACACGCGAUAUCGCAGGGAGUAGAAACACCCCUGUGAUACUGUUCUUAAUAUUCAGGGAGGAAGAGGAUGAUAUUACUCCCAAUACAGACGGGUGUACACCCUCUGUACACCGAGGGUGUACACCUGUCUGUGAAAGAAUGGACACGCCCCCACUGAUAUUGUUUUUAAUGCAGCGUGGGAGGGGAGGAUAUGACACGCGAUAUCGCAGCUGAGUGCCACGUGCUGACGUCACUAAGAUCAAUACAGCAAACUCUGAAAGAUGGACAGAGAGACAGGAGAUGGUCCUUUAUAAUGCAGUGUGAUCUGUGCUGCAAUAGAGUUUUGGAAGCUAGAAGUUCAAAACGAGGUGUUGGCAGCACCAUGCUCUCUCUGAAGAUGCUAGGAAGAAUCUGCUCCAUGCCUUUCCAUUCGCUCCUGGGGUUUCCUGCAAGCCCUGACAUUCCUUGGCUUGUAGAUGCAUCACCCCAGUUUCCGCCCCCAUCAUCACAUGGCCUCCUCUCUGUGUGUGCCUCUGCGUUCCCUCUAUUCUUCUUCUAAGGACACCGACACCAGUCAUAGUGGAUUAAGGGUCCACUCCUAACCAAUUACAUCUGCAACAACCCUAUUUCCAAAUAAAGUCACAUUCUAAGA